GCACCAGACUCCUACGGGAGGCAGCAGUGGGGAAUAUUGCACAAUGGGGGAAACCCUGAUGCAGCGACGCCGCGUGAGCGAUGAAGUAUUUCGGUAUGUAAAGCUCUAUCAGCAGGGAAGAAGAUGACGGUACCUGACUAAGAAGCCCCGGCUAACUACGUGCCAGCAGCCGCGGUAAUACGUAGGGGGCAAGCGUUAUCCGGAUUUACUGGGUGUAAAGGGAGCGUAGACGGCGAUGCAAGCCAGAUGUGAAAGCCCGGGGCUCAACCCCGGGACUGCAUUUGGAACUGUGUGGCUGGAGUGUCGGAGAGGCAGGCGGAAUUCCUAGUGUAGCGGUGAAAUGCGUAGAUAUUAGGAGGAACACCAGUGGCGAAGGCGGCCUGCUGGACGAUGACUGACGUUGAGGCUCGAAAGCGUGGGGAGCGAACAGGAUUAGAUACCCCCGUACC
rnacentral:rRNA from 1 species